UACGGAGGGUCCGAGCGUUAUCCGGAAUCAUUGGGUUUAAAGGGUCCGUAGGCGGGCUAAUAAGUCAGAGGUGAAAUCCCACAGCUUAACUGUGGCACUGCCUUUGAUACUGUAGGUCUUGAAUUCGGUCGAAGUGGGCGGAAUGUGUUAUGUAGCGGUGAAAUGCAUAGAUAUAACACAGAACACCGAUAGCGAAGGCAGCUUGCCAGACUGUAACUGACGCUGAUGCACGAAAGCGUGGGUAGCGAACAGG
rnacentral:rRNA from 1 species